GCACUCCAGCCUCCUUGCAAGCUUGGGGCGCCUCAUUCUCUCCCGUGCCCCUUCUCCCAGCUGGGUCUGAGCCCCCACCCCCCGGCUUCUCCAUUCUGCUUCUCCCAGCUUCUCUCUCCAUCUCCCCCGAUGGCCUCUCUGCCUCAGCUUCCAGGUCUCUGCUGGUCCCUAGGAAGCACUUUGACCUCUGCUUCCCCUUCAAAUGCUGUGGAUCAAGCCUCCCCAACCCCACCAUCCCACCAAAGGGGGCUGCUGACCGAGAGAGCUCACUCAGCCAGAGCCAGAUUCUUAUUCUGUCACCCAGGCUGGAGUGCGGUGGCAUGAUCAUAACUCACUUCAGCCUAGAACUCCUGACUCCUGGCUUCAAGCGAUCCUCCCACCUCAGCAUCCCAAGUAACUGGGACUACAGAGAGCCAGUUGUUAAACACUAGCCAACACCCCAUUGAUGCUGUUCCUUCUACCUGAAACACCUCACAUUGCCGGUGAGCUCUAGAGACAAAAGGACCUGGGUCUGCAUUUCCCAAAGGCAAGAAUCUGGUAUCACCUGCAUAUUAUUUUCCCAUAUUUGAGCACCACUGCUUGUUGCAUUAUUUACUUAGCAGUUUUGCUCCUGUCAACUCACUUUUUUAAAACUAAACUUAUUUUAAAAAGAAAAGUUUUGGCCAGGCGCGGUGACUCACGCCUGUAAUCCCAGCACUUUGGGAGGCCGAGCUGGGCAGAUCACCUGAGGUCGGGAGUUCGAGACCAGCCUGACCAACAUGGAGAAACUCUGUCUCUACUAAAAAUACAAAAUUAGCUGGGCGUGGUGGCGCAUGCCUGUAAUCCUAGCUACUUGGGAGGCUGUGGCAGGAGAAUUGCUUGAACCCAGGAGGCGGAGGUUGCGGUGAGUCGAGAUGGCACCAUUGUACUCCAGCCUGGGGAACAGAUGUGAAACUCUGUCUCAAAAAAAAGAAAGAAAAAGAAAAGAAAAGCUUUAUAUAAUUUUAAUACACAAAAAAACAGUAUCCCGGCCAGGCACAGUGGCUCAUGCCUGUAAUCCCAGCAAUUUGGGAGGCCAGGCAGGAGGAUCACUUGAGGCUAGGGGUUCAAGACCAGCCUGGCCAACAUGGUGAGACCCCCGUCUCUACUAAAAAUACAAAAAUUAGCCAGGCAUAGUGGCACGUGCCUGUAAUCCCAACUACUCGGGUGGCUGAGGAACGAAAAUCACCUGAAUCCAGGAGGUGGAGGUUGCUGUGAGCCGAGAUCGUGCCAAUGCACUUCAGCCUGGGUGACGGAGUGAGACUCUGUCUCAAAAAAAGAAAAAGAAAACGAGUAUCCCUUGCCAUAAGUAGCAAGCAAUCAUUCAAACAUGGAAAUGAGGCAUUCACACUUGUUCUUGUUUCACACUAAGGCCCUAAGCCUAAGGAGGGUUUCUCUAUGUUGAAAGGAAAUUAGGCAGUGUUCAGAGGGGUGUUAAAGAUAGACUAGCAACUAACCGAAACUUUCUCCUCAAUGUAAGUGCUUUAGAAGGGACUAAAAAGAGAAUGUUCUCCCUACGUGUACCGUAUCACCUACAAUUACCUCGUGUACCACUAUUUUCCAAAUAAAUGCCAGAGGCAAGAGUAAAUUUCGAUGCUUUAGCCUAGCACUCAAAGCCCUCCUCGAUUUGAAUCUUUCCAGCCUCAUCUUGCACAGGCCCUCCAUAUCCAGGCCUCACCCACUCUAUUUGCCAUCUCCAGAACAUACCCCUAACUGUGUCUCGCCUCUGUGCCUUUGUGCAAGCUGCUCCCUCUACCUGGAAACCUCCAUUUGUCAAGCUGCUGCUGUCUUCAAGAUCUUCCUGAUCAGAAUCUCCUGCUGUCCUCUUCUGCCACCCACAGCAACGUGAGCCUUCACUGGCUGGCCUUCCCUACUCACUGGAGCAGAGCUACCAGCGUCAGAAUGCCCUGGACCAGCGGUUAGAAACACAGAUUCCUGAGUCUACACUUGAAGAUUUUUUUCUUUCUUUUUUUUUUUCCAAUUUUUUUAAUUUUAGAGAUGGGGUCUCACCAUGUUGCCCAGGCUGGUCUCAAGUUCCUGGGCUCAGGUCAUCCUCCCACCUAGGCCUUCUAAAGUGUUAGGAUUACAGGCGUGAGCCCUGAACCUUGUAACAUGAACAUUUAUUAGUUAUAUCUGGAAAAAAAUAUAAAGUUAUUUUUAUUUGGGUGAUACCGCCUUCAAAAAAAAACAAAACAAAAAAAGAGGCUGAGCACAGUGGUUCAUGUCUGUAAUCCCAGCGUUUUGGGAGGCUGAGGCAGGCGGAUCACUUGAGGCCAGGAGUUCAAGAUCAGCCUGGCCAACAUAGUGAAACCCCACUUCUAUUAAAAAUACAAAAAUGGGCCAGGUGCGGUGGCUCAUACCUGUAAUCCCAGCACUUUGGGAGGCCGAGGUGAGUGACUCACGAGGUCAAGAGAUCAAGACCAUCCUGGUAAACAUGGAGAAACCCCAUCUCUACUAAAAAUACAAAAAUUAGCUGGGCAUGGUGGCACGUGCCUGUAGUCCCAGCUACUAGAGAAGCUGAGGCAGUGGAAUCGCUUGAACCCAGGAGGCAGAGGUUGCAGUGAGCUGAGAUUGUACCACUGCACUCCAGCCUGGGCGACAGAGUGAGACUCUGUCUCAAAAAAAAAAAAAAAAAUUAGCCGAGCGUGGUGGCACAUGCCUGUAAUCCCAACUACUCGGGAGGCUGAGGCAGAAGAAUUGCUUGAACCUGGGAGGCGGAGGUUUCAGUGAGCCAAGAUCGCACCACUGCACUCCAGCCUGGGCAACAGAGCAAGACUCCAUCUCACAAAAUAAAAAGCCAAAAAAAGCUCUCGACAGUUCUGUUCCCUGCCUGAGGUGUUUGUCUCAGGAUCCCGGCCUGGCUGUGGGCCACAGAUGGCAAAAACCAAGGUCUGUCUAUUACUGGGCAUCCAGGGUUUCAUAAUCUCUACAACCUACAUGCCUGGAACUCCACACAUUGCGCAUGCCCCAGAAAUGCUUGCCCAACGGACCCCAAUCCACAAUUUCUGAAUGCAUUUCUCAUGACUUGCUGAAGGUGUCUUGUCAGUCCAAUUAGAUUGUAAACUCCAGGAGUGCAGGGACAACGUUGACCUUCCUAUUACUCCCCUCACUCCUGCCCAGCUCUGGUCUGGGCACACAGUGACCCUCAAGGGUAGCACAAAGACUUGAGGCAAGAAAAACACCUGUAGAAGGAAAAGGCUGGAUCCCGGGAGCGCCUCUGUCUGCUUUGCUGCCACCCUCUUCUUCAACAGCAAAGGACACGCUAGUUCUAUGCAGCAAAAGUUUCCAAACACGUUAGCCUAAGAAUUUUGAGUCGUGCAAAAAAUAAAUAAAUUCCCAGAGUCACAGGGUUAAAAAAAAAAAAUCAGAUUCCAGGGCCCCACCCUUGUUGUUCCUGAGUCAGACUCCCCAAUCAAACUGCCAGAGAAUCUCUUCUUUGAACAAACACUUCAGGCAACUUUCCCAGGAUAAAGCAAGUUUCAGAAACUCUCACACAGCGUCUUGGGUAUCUCAGAUAUGGCUCUCGCCCUCCAGAUAUUUACAAAUGAAAACAAGAAAUCUGGUUCCAACAAGCAAAAGCCCAGAGAGACCUCAAAUACAAAGAUGCAAAUCAAAAUUAGUAGAGAAAUAAAUGAGCCGAGACGUUGUACUUCGGUCGCGGGGCUGACUGAGGUCACUGCCUGCACAGCCGACUGUUGGAAGUUCUGCGGUAUACCAGCUGAGUGGCCUUUAACAAGUCCCAUCUCCACUCUGAGCCUCUGUUUCCACAUCUGUAGAGUGAGGAUAUGUGGGCCUAACUCACAGGGUUGUUGUGAGAAUUCAACAAGAACACAUCAAGCAGCUGUGAAUAUAGCAAGCCGGCAUUUGAUUAAAUGUUAAUUUUCAUCCUAAGAAAAAUAGCUAAUAUUUCUGAGCACUUACUGCUGAGCCCUGGGCUAACAUUUACUUGUUCCUUUAACUCCCACAACAACCCAAUGAGGUAGAAUCUAUUAUUAUCCCCAUUUCACAGAUGAGGAAAUUAAGGCACAGAAAGGUUAAAAAAAAAAAACAUGCUCAGGCCAGGCGUGGUGGAUCACCCCUGUAAUCUCAGCACUUUGGGAGGUGGAGGCUGGAGGAUCGCUUGAGGCCAGGAGUUUGAGACCAGCCUGGGCAACAUAGCAAGACCCUGUCUCUAUAAAAAAAAAAUUUAAAGCUGAGUGCAGUGGCUCACGCCUGUAACCCCAACACUUUGAGAGGCUGAGGCAGGUGAACUCUUGAGCCCAGGAAUUCAAGACCAAACUGGGCAACACAGUGAGACCCUGUCUCUUAAUAAAAAAAAAAUCAGCUGGGUGUGGUGGUGCGUGCCUGUGAUCCCAACUACUCGGGAGGCUGAGGUGGGAGGAUCACUUGAGCCCAGGAGUUUGAGGUUGCAGUGAGCUAUGAUUGUACCAUUGCACUCCAGCCUGCACAAUAGAGAAAGGUCUGUCUUUAAAAAAAAAAAAGAAAGAAAAGAAAAAAGUACCCAACAUCUCCCAACCAGGAAAUGGCAGAGCUGGGAUUAGAGCCUAGAAAACCUAUCCUGUAGCCCCAGGAGGAAAUAGCCUCAUGGGAGCAAAACCACCAGGUGUUUAGGACUCAUGAAAAUUAUACAUUGGCUUCUUUGGGAAAAGUGGCCUAUUCAGCUGAGCAGGACCCAAAAUAGCAAAAGGGCCAAGGACAGCCCGCCUGCCCUAGGUGUGGCCCCAGCUGGGAUUCCUAGCCCUGCGAGUUUUCCCAGAUUGGCCAACACACAUCUGAACCCCUGGGAUCAGGAAGUGCCAAUGCCUGGGUCUUGCUAAAGCCAUUUACUGUUGACAGAUAUCCCACCGAUGGCCAAGUGCCAGCUAGUCACGGCCUCAGUGCAGGACCUCAUCCCUCCCAGAAAGCCAUGGCUCUGGACUCCACCCACUGAAAACAGGGCUUUUGUGGGAAUACAAUGGGACAACAAGAAAAACAUGCUGAACCUGGUCUCCAUGGGACCUGAUGUGCGAGUCACGUUCAUUCACAUCCCUGGCUUGCAGCCUCUCCACUCACAAGUUAUUGAUAAUUGAAAAAAUAAAACAACAUGCGAUCGUAUUUCUGGGCAGAUAGAAUACAAGAGCCUGGGGCACUGGUUGUUUCUGGGGAGGGGAAGGGAACCGAGAGACCCAAGAAGAGGGUGGACAAGCUAGGCACGGUGGCUCAUCCCUGUAAUCCCAGCACUUUGGGAGGCCAAGGCAGGCAGACACUUGAGGUCAGGAGUUCGAGAUCAGCCUGGCCAACAUGGUGAAACUCUCUCUCUACCAAAAACAUAAAAAUUAGCCAGGCAUGGUGGCAGGUGCCUAUAAUCGCAGCCACUCAGGAGUCUGAGGCAGGAGAAUCACUUGAACCUGGAGGCAGAGACUGCGGUAACCGGAGAUCGUGCCAUUGCGCUCCAACCUGGGCAACAGAGCGAAACUCCGUCUCAAAGAAAAAAAUAAAAAGGACUAUGAGUGGGAGCAGAUGUAGGGAGAUGCAAGGGACAGAGUGUCAGAGAGUGGGAGAAGCGUUGGGCUGGUAACUGUGAGGCGGCAAUGCCUUCCCGCACGUCCACCUGUUCUGGGCUCUCUGCUAAUCAAACCCAACCACCAGGCAGAGGCAUGGGAGACCCCCGCGCAUAGAGAGGGUGGAGACCGGAGAAGCGAUGGCAGAAGAGGCCAGACCACCACCCAAUAGAUGUGGGUAACUAUUCAAAACUCAGAUCAUCUGAACAGAAAAAGGUAAAUGCUGUGAGCUAAAAACUUCAAGGUUCUUUGCAUCAGUGCCUUUUUUUUUUUUUCCUGAAGUUAUUUCAAGUUGGAUUUCUACCACUUGCAACCCAAAAGAGUCUUGCCGAACAGAGACGGAAACAUGUAAGAUUUCAUUGAAGUGGAAACCUGGCAUUAUAAUUGCCCACUGCUUGUAAAAUUCAGGCCAGCGCGGUGGCUCACGCCUGUAAUCCCAACACUUCGGGAGGCCGAGGCGGGCAGAUCGCCUGAGCCCAGAAGUUUAAGACCAGCGUGGCAACAUUGCAAGUCCCUGUCUCCGUAAAAAAUUUUGGUUUAAAGCUAAGUGCAGUGGGUCACACCUGUAAUGCCAACUCUUCGGGAGUCUGAAGCAGGUUAAUUGCUUGAGCCCAGGAGGUCAAGACCAAACUGGGCAACAUAGUGAGAACCCAUCUCUAAAAAAAGAGAAGAAAAGAAAAUCAGCAGGGAGUGUUGGCACAUGCCAGUGGUGCCAGCUAUUCAGGAGGCCGAGGUGGAAGAAUCACUUGAACCCAGGAAGGUCAAGGCUGCAGCGAGCUGUGAUAGUACCACUGCACUCCAGCCUGGACAACAGAGCAAGACCCUGUCUCAAAAUAAGUAAAUAGGCUGGGCGAGGUGGCUCACGCCUGUAAUCCUAGCACUUUGGGAGGUCGAGGCGGGCAGAUCAUUUGGGGUAAGGAGUUCGAGACCAGUUUGGCCAACACAGUGAAACUCCGUCUCUAUUAAAAAUACAAAAAAAAUUAGCUGGGUGUGGUGGCACAUGCCUGUAAUCCCAGCUACUUGGGGAGGCUGAGGCAGGAGAAUCACUUGAACCCGGGAGACAGAGAUCGCGUCACUGCACUCCAGCCUGGUUGACAGUGCGAGACUCUCAAAAAAAAAAAAAAUUGGCCAGGCACAGUGGCUUACGCCUGUAAUCCUAGUACUUUG